rnacentral:ncRNA from 1 species
UAAAAAGCGAUGAUGGGAAACCCAGUAGCUGCUAUCUCCCUGUGAACAGAGAGUCGAUGGUUGGUGCGAAUCGACACAUAGAUAACAGCGAAUUACAUUCCUGGAGCAUUCUUUGCUAGGUAGAGUUACGCAAAGAACGGACGAGCCGUUAUUCGUAGAGUGGAAGGAUGAAUUCCUUCAAAUAGGGUGGUACCGCGUGCAAAACCACGUCCCUUUU